GUUAUACCAAAAAAACGUAGAAGUCAUGAGAUGAAAAUGGCAUGCUGUCCAAGGAUUCCUAUUGUUAUCCCAGUAGCUCCAAGAAAAAAUAGCAUUAUUUCUAUAUUAACAUAAAUAAGCACAUAAGGGAGAAAAAGGCAAAUAAAGAGAGAUUUUGAGAUAAAAUAUGGCAAAAUAUUGUGCUGUCAGGGAUGCUUUAAGCUAUGCCUCCAAGGUUCUCAGGUGAAGCUUUCAUUUUUCCUUUAAUAUCAGGGUGCUAGGACGGAAAAGUUAUACAAAAUGGAUUUUAGGCCAGAUAAGCUGUCACUAAGUAUAAACAGACAAAACAGCAGACCAUGAGAACCAUGAUCAUGUUUACAGAGUUUUUAAAAAUAUAUUCUACAACAUUGCUUAAAAUAUCAUUUGAUUUAGAUUUAUUCCUUCCAUUUUCUGUCUGCAACAUUUUCCAACUAAGUUCCAUUAACUCAGC
rnacentral:lncRNA from 1 species